AUUGAACGCUGGCGGCAGGCCUAACACAUGCAAGUCGAGCGGAUGAAGGGAGCUUGCUCCUGGAUUCAGCGGCGGACGGGUGAGUAAUGCCUAGGAAUCUGCCUGGUAGUGGGGGAUAACGUCCGGAAACGGGCGCUAAUACCGCAUACGUCCUGAGGGAGAAAGUGGGGGAUCUUCGGACCUCACGCUAUCAGAUGAGCCUAGGUCGGAUUAGCUAGUUGGUGGGGUAAAGGCCUACCAAGGCGACGAUCCGUAACUGGUCUGAGAGGAUGAUCAGUCACACUGGAACUGAGACACGGUCCAGACUCCUACGGGAGGCAGCAGUGGGGAAUAUUGGACAAUGGGCGAAAGCCUGAUCCAGCCAUGCCGCGUGUGUGAAGAAGGUCUUCGGACUGUAAAGCACUUUAAGUUGGGAGGAAGGGCAGUAAGUUAAUACCUUGCUGUUUUGACGUUACCAACAGAGUAAGCACCGGCUAACUUCGUG
rnacentral:rRNA from 1 species